rnacentral:rRNA from 1 species
UGAACGCUGGCGGUAGGCCUAACACAUGCAAGUCGAACGGCAGCACAGUAAGAGCUUGCUCUUACGGGUGGCGAGUGGCGGACGGGUGAGGAAUACAUCGGAAUCUACUUUUUCGUGGGGGAUAACGUAGGGAAACUUACGCUAAUACCGCAUACGACCUACGGGUGAAAGCAGGGGAUCUUCGGACCUUGCGCGAUUGAAUGAGCCGAUGUCGGAUUAGCUAGUUGGCGGGGUAAAGGCCCACCAAGGCGACGAUCCGUAGCUGGUCUGAGAGGAUGAUCAGCCACACUGGAACUGAGACACGGUCCAGACUCCUACGGGAGGCAGCAGUGGGGAAUAUUGGACAAUGGGCGCAAGCCUGAUCCAGCCAUACCGCGUGGGUGAAGAAGGCCUUCGGGUUGUAAAGCCCUUCUGUUGGGAAAGAAAAGCAGCAGGUUAAUACCCCGCUGUUCUGACGGUACCCAAAGAAUAAGCACCGGCUAACUUCGUG